rnacentral:rRNA from 1 species
GACGAACGCUGGCGGCGUGCCUAAUACAUGCAAGUAGAACGCUGAAGAGAGGAGCUUACUCUUCUUGGAUGAGUUGCGAACGGGUGAGUAACGCGUAGGUAACCUGCCUUGUAGCGGGGGAUAACUAUUGGAAACGAUAGCUAAUACCGCAUAACAAUUGAUGACACAUGUCAUUUAUUUGAAAGGGGCAAUUGCUCCACUACAAGAUGGACCUGCGUUGUAUUAGCUAGUAGGUGAGGUAAUGGCUCACCUAGGCGACGAUACAUAGCCGACCUGAGAGGGUGAUCGGCCACACUGGGACUGAGACACGGCCCAGAAUCCUACGGGAGGCAGCCGUAGGGAAUCUUCGGCAAUGGGGGCAACCCUGACCGAGCAACGCCGCGUGAGUGACGAAGGUUUUCGGAUCGUAAAGCUCUGUUGUAAGUCAAGAACGGGUGUGAGAGUGGAACGUUCACACUGUGACGGUAGCUUACCAGAAAGGGACGGCUAACUACGUG